GCCCCCGUGGUGAAAAGGACAUCACGCAGGUCUCCGGAACCUGAAGUCCAGGUUCGAUUCCUGGCGGGGGCA
rnacentral:tRNA from 1 species